ensembl:lncRNA
GGGAUAGGGAGGAUAGUAGAGGAGAGAUAUGUACACAACCAGGACAGGGGUUACGGAGGAGAGGAGAGAUAUGGACACAACCAGGAAAGGGGUUAGGGUGGAGAGGAGAGAUAUGGACACAACCAGGACAGGGGAUAGGGUGGAGAGGAGAGAUAUGGACACAACCAGGACAGGGGAUAGGGAGGUUAGGAGAGAUAUGGACACAACCAGGACAGGGGAUAGGGAGGAGAGAGGAGAAGAGAUAUGGACACAACCAGGACAGGGGAUAGGGAGGAUAGGAGAGAUAUGGACACAACCAGGACAGGGGAUAGGGAGGAUAGUAGAGGAGAGAUAUGUACACAACCAGGACAGGGUUUAGGGUGGAGAGGAGAGAUAUGGUCACAACCAGGACAGGGGUUAGGGAGGAGAG